UCACGUACAUUCACGUACAUGAAUAUUCACUUUCCUCAGUCUCUUUGGGAGCCGAAAGGACAUGGUCAUGGUGAGCAUCAGUGCACCAUAGUUUGAAAGUGAUGAAAAGUUCAUCUCUGGAUUUGAUGAGGCCAAGGCUUUGGGCUUCUUUGAUGGUUUCUCCAAGAGGCUCCUCUGAUUGAUAUAGUGCAGCUGAGGGUUGUUCACGUACGUGAAUAUUCCCUGCUCUCAAAUAGACUUUCUGGAAUCUUCAAUUGGAAUAUCUUGAUCUCCACCUCGUCCAUUAUCCUGCAAGUUUGAAGCCAGGGGAAUAUAAGUUUCCCUUUAAUAAGAAAGACCUUCUCCCUAUACAUCUCAAAUCUGUUUGGGAAUCAAUGGAGCAAUGUCAGAAGGUUGGCCUCACCAGAUUCAUCGGAGUCAGCAACUUCCCUUGCAAGAAGCUCCAAGAUUUACUUACUAUAGCCAAAAUCCCUCCAGCCGUCAGUCAAGUGGAGAUGAACCCAGUUUGGCAGCAGAAGAAGCUUAGGGAGUUCUGCAAAGAAAAGGAAGACAUAUUACUGCUUACUCUCCCUUGGGUGCCAAAGGAACACCUUGGGGCACUAACAGAGUUAUGGAGUGUGAGGUACUAAAAGAGAUAGCAGAGGCAAGAGGAAAGACAAUUGCUCAGGUUUGCUUGAGAUGGGUGUACAAGAAAGGGGUGAGCAUAGUCAUGAAGAGCUUUAACAAGGAAAGGUUGAAGGAGAACCUACAAAUCUUUGAUUGGAAGCUAAGCCAAGAGGAAUUGCAGAAGAUCGAUGGCAUUAAUUUCACAAAAGAAAGGAUAUCCUGCAUUGGAAUUUAUCUCAGAGGAAGGCCCUUUCAAAUCUCGAUGAGCUUUGGGAUGAGGAGAUAGAUAAUAAAUAGGGAUGAUCAUGGCCUCGCAAACAAGGAAGGCCUUAUCAUUAACGUGUUCAAAAAUUUGGCUAAUUUCCAAUCGAUGGAUUCAGGCUCAAUGUUGUCCCUCAUCCAUGAGUUCUUGACAUUAGUUUGAAUAAAUUUCCAUUUAACAAAAACAAAAAUUGUAGC